rnacentral:rRNA from 1 species
AUGGGAACGCGAAGAACCUUACCUACUCUUGACAUCCAGAGAACUUAGCAGAGAUGCUUUGGUGCCUUCGGGAACUCUGAGACAGGUGCUGCAUGGCUGUCGUCAGCUCGUGUUGUGAAAUGUUGGGUCAAGUCCCGCAACGAGCGCAACCCUUAUCCUUUGUUGCCAGCGGUCCGGCCGGGAACUCAAAGGAGACUGCCAGUGAUAAACUGGAGGAAGGUGGGGAUGACGUCAAGUCAUCAUGGCCCUUACGAGUAGGGCUACACACGUGCUACAAUGGCGCAUAACAAAGAAGAAGCGACCUCGCGAGAGCAAGCGGACCUCAUAAAGUGCGUCGUAGUCCGGAUUGGAGUCUGCAACUCGACUCCAUGAAGUCGGAAUCGCUAGU